GUCAUGGGCCCCUGGGAUCAGAAACACUGACCUGGUCCCUGAGCCCCCUCCUCAUCUGUGCCCAGCCUCAACAUCGGCACUAACGCAGCACUCAUCCCUGCCCGCAUGCAUCAUGCUUUGCCAUCAUCUUUAACCUGGUCCAGCGCACUCCCUGGAGAGGGACCCUGUGGGAACCCUAGUCAAGAGUACGCCGGAUGAUCAAGGCCAGUUUGCCACAUGCGUGCAUGCAGGCGAGGAUGUAACCUGUUCAUGUUCAUGUAGCAUCUGUGUCACUCAUUGGCACGAGGCCUCUUCUGUGUGAGCGUGUAUAUAAGGCCACUGACCAGCCAGGGGGGCUGGGCCGCUUUGUGGGGCUGCCUUUGGGGGCUACUUUGAAGAACUACUUUGAUGGCUCCUAUAGUAGCAAUGGCUACUUGGCCUACAGUAAAGUCUCUCCCAUAUGCCUGCGA